CACUCAACCACUGACCCACCUCCCUAGCCCUAUUUUGUAUUUUAUGUACUAAGCAUCACUGAGAUGCUUAGUGCCUUACUGUUGCUGAGGCUGGCUUUGAACUCUCAAAUCUCCUAUUUCAGCUUCUCAAGCUGCUGGGAUUACAGGUGUGCAACACCCCAACUGUCAUAAUAAUUUUGUAAUAAUGAUUAAAAAUAUUUAAAAAAAUGAGGGAGUAUUUAAGUUUGGUAUAUUAAUCUGGACUCUUAAGGAAGAAUUUUAUUUAGGUAUUUCAUUUCUGAUAUAAUCAAAGAUAGAACCAUACACGACCCUAUUAAAGACAAUCAAAAUAAAUAAGGACCACGUGACAUUUAAGGAAGUGAUGAAAAGUUUGGUAAGUUGGAUAAAAUACAGAAGAGUUUAGAUUUCUUAGUGAAUAUAAUGAAGAUCAAUUGAAGUUAUUUGAGUAAGAAAAUAGAAUGGUUCUCUCAUUGUAUGUGCUCAUAAACCAAUGAUAUUACCAAAGUUAAAAGGCAAUUAUUCAAUAUUUUGGUAGCAGAUUAAAGAAGAUGAGGGUAAAAAACAAAUGACAGCAGGGAGAUUAGUUAUUCUGACAGGAAGGGAUGUUACAGGGUUUAUAGAGCAGACUACAAUGUCAACAAAAAUAAUAUAAAAGUAAAGGACAGAUGCUUUCAUAAAUGAUAUCACAAUUUGAUGAGAUAUUUUUAAUAAAUUGAUGUGGGAGGAGAAGAAGAAGAAGAAAUAAGGAAAUAUACCUCUAAAAUUUUGAAACUUUAUAACUG
rnacentral:lncRNA from 1 species